rnacentral:rRNA from 1 species
AUUGAACGCUGGCGGCAGGCCUAACACAUGCAAGUCGAACGGUAACAGGAAGAAGCUUGCUUCUUUGCUGACGAGUGGCGGACGGGUGAGUAAUGUCUGGGAAACGGCCUGAUGGAGGGGGAUAACUACUGGAAACGGUAGCUAAUACCGCAUAACGUCGCAAGACCAAGAAGGGGGACCUUCGGGCCUCUUGCCAUCGGAUGUGCCCAGAUGGGAUUAGCUAGUAGGUGGGGUAACGGCUCACCUAGGCGACGAUCCCUAGCUGGUCUGAGAGGAUGACCAGCCACACUGGAACUGAGACACGGUCCAGACUCCUACGGGAGGCAGCAGUGGGGAAUAUUGCACAAUGGGCGCAAGCCUGAUGCAGCCAUGCCGCGUGUAUGAAGAAGGCCUUCGGGUUGUAAAGUACUUUCAGCGGGGAGGAAGGGAGUAAAGUUAAUACCUUUGCUCAUUGACGUUACCCGCAGAAGAAGCACCGGCUAACUCCGUG